CGGAACAAUACCGGACCAACCACCAACUGAGCUGAGUUUUCGAUUUCUGCCAUUUUUGGGACAAUUCUAUUGAUCUUUAGAGAUAUCUAUAGUUUGUUUGCAUAGGGUUGGUGUACCUUGAUGACAUAUAAAAUAGUAAAUCUACAAAACUGGGCAAAGCAGUAUGUGUUGGAUCCAUACUCACAAAACAGGGGCAGUAAGUGUGCUGUACCUACUGCUGGAGGAAAUGAGAAUAAUUAUAAUGAAGUCUAUCCCGGAUUAUUCCUUGGAGACAGGAAAAUAGCCAUGGACAAAAACAGUCUAAAAGAACUUGGAAUCACACAUGUAAUUAAUUGCGCUCAGGGUCAACGGUCAAUAUUUGUAAAUACAGAUGCCAAGUAUUACAAAGACAUGGGAAUCAAAUUUUAUGGUAUUAAAGCCUCGGACACAGAGUCAUUUGAUAUAUCAAAGUUUUUCAGGCCUACUGCAAAUAUUAUACAGCAAGCUCUGGAAAAGGGAGGUAAAGUAUUAGUUCACUGUGUGUCAGGUGUAAGUAGGUCUGCUACUAUAAUUAUUGCCUUUUUAAUGUUGAAACGAAGAAUGACGUUCCGAGAAGCUAUCAAGUCUGUCAGAGAAAAACGUUGUAUCUGUCCGAAUGACGGCUUCAUGACCCAGCUAUGUGUCUUACACCAUGAACUGUUUGGAGUCCAAGAACUACCAAACAGAAGAAGUCAUAAAUGUAUUAUAUUGUGAAUAUUAUAAAUGUGUGAAAAACUGUGUGUAGUAUUUGAAAAGUAAAAUGUUGAAAGACCUUGUACUUUUUUCAACAAAAAUUUUGAUUGAGUGUAUAUAUAUAUAUAUUGAUAAGGGAUUAAUGAGGUUACCACCAGGGGCACACUAUGAAGCCUUUCCGAAAUGGUGAUAGAUCAGGAGUGUUUCCAAAAUUGUCAAAUAAUUCUCAAUGGAAAAGCAAGGGCUUUUGUAAAAGUAAAAUUUAAUGAUUAAUCAUACAGAUUAGUUUCACAAGACUGUAAAUGCAGGAAUCUAUGAAUGGCUAUAUACCUUAUGAUCAUCUAAAAUAUGUGAUAAAAGUUAAUGUGAUAAAAGUCUUAUAUAGAAUAAACUGAUAUUAUCAAAAAAUGUUUUUUUUGGAAUUGAAUGCAUAGGGGCAUUUUCCCAUUUAUUGAUAUAUUGUAAUCAUCUUAAUGUACAUCAUUCCAGAAAUAUUGAAUUGUUCCAAUAAUUCCUACAUACACAUUCCCAAUAAGGACUCAUUAAUCCCUGGUGUAAAUGUCUUGGUUUAGAGUAGAUUUGACCAUUACAAUGAUAUUAUUAUUCAAAUUUGUAAUGAAAUGUUUGUAAGAUGAUUUUUAAAGGGGCACUAGCUGUCAAAUUCAUGUUCACCGAUUUGACUCAAAUUCUCAUAUUUGAUUUAUAACAACGUAAAACAUUUAUCCAAACUAUUAAAAGUCUAAAAUAAACAGUUAACAGGACAUGGGCAUGAUAACACGUAGCUUCGAUUUGUGUGUAUUUUAGUCUAGACGCCAUCUAAUUAACUAUCGAGUUGACCUCCAAAGUCAUCCGAUGACCAUAUAAGCAAUGUAAACAUAAAUAAAGAUAUAAAUAGAUUAAGCGAACUCAUGCUAUUGGAUUUUUCUAGGUCUGUUUAAUUUCAUAUUAUAGAAUAAAAAUAUAUGUUUAUCAUCGUUUUUACCUGUAUAAGAAUGAUUUUUUGUGGAUCGGAUCAGUCAAUCAAAUGAUUUACCUUUGUUUCACUUUCAAUGUUGACAUUCUUUUCCUUUAAAUAACUUUACACAUACAAUUCACGUGUUAUCCAUCUCUAGCUAAGGGUUAAAUUGAAGUUCACAUGAAUACGGAUUCAAUGAGGUCGAAUUGUUCACUUUCAAGUGAAUAAUUCAUCAUCAAUGUUUCUUAGCUUAUUUUGACAAAAUUGAACCAUACUGGUGGCUAAAAGUGAAUUAUUAUUUCACUAUUUCACUUUCAUUAAUGAUUGAACAAAAAAAAAUCAUAUAUUAGAUUUUUUAUAUAUCUCGUAGCUAGUGCCCCUUUAAGAAAAAAAAUCCCUUAAAUAAGCUUAACUCUAACUUUAUUAAUUUUUUUCACAUUUUUUCAUAUUCUGUUAAAUGCCAUUUCAGAUUGAGAUAGCCUUUGGACAUCAGUAUUUGUACCAUAUAUUUCCUUAUGUAUUUUAAAUUUUUUUUUAUUAUCUGGCUGAGACCUAGUUUUUGUAAGUGAAAGUAGUUUUUUCUGUAUUUUUUUUAUUUCUGAUUUUCCUUCAGUUAUGCUUGAAUAGUUGUAGAUGUUAUUCUUAUGUUCUUUCAUUUUUCAACCUGGAUCAAAUAUAAAAUGUAUCAUUUACAAUACCCAUGUUAAUCUUGUUAUGUUAAUUUACUUAUCCCUUGCUUGAAAGGAAAGCAUAUAUAAAAAGAAGAUGUGAUAAAUUUUUUCUGCAACUUAAAAAAAAUUGUUUUAAAAUCAGAUUAAAUAAUGGAAAUAUCUACAUUAGUAUGACUUAGUAUGAACUUAAAAAAUAUCAUCUAAAAUGUUAAACUACGCAAAGAUCAAAUGAGCAUUCUAUAGUUGUAUACAUCUUCUUUCUUUGGUCUCUAGGUGACAGUUGUCUUAUUGGCAAAUACCACAUCUCCUUUUUUAUAAGCCAAACCUACACCAAGAGUUUAAUCCACAACAUUGUUGAACGCAAGUCACCCUAUUGAUUUGCCUUUCUCUAUGGAUCUGCAUGUGAAUUUUCAUGUAAAUAAAUGAAUUACAUACUGUGUUAAGCAGUUUCUGUGAAAAAAAGACUGAUCAGUUGCAAUCCAAGAUAUAAUUUAGAAUUUUUAUAUUUCCAUGCUUCCUUAAGACAGGAAGAUCACAUUUGCUUGGUAUUGGAUAAUUUUUCAUUUGAUAUACUGAUAUUCUGUUCUCUGUGUUAUGUGAUGCAUUUUUCAGCUUAAUUUGCUUUAUAUGUGGUGUAGGUUUUGGGGGUCAUCCUUAUAUAUAAAACUGUCACAUGGUUUUAUGGGGUAUUGUUGUACCUGAAUAAUUACCUUUUUUACAGUAUUAUAUAAUUAAAUACCGGUAUUAUGUUUUGAAAGUAGUCAACUUUUAAAAUCAAUUAUUUAAAUGUUAGUAUAUUAUGAAAUAUAAUUAAUAUUCAAUGACAAUUUUUCUGGAGGUAAAAAGUAUACAAAAUUUGAUAAACAUUAAUGCAUCAAGACUCAUCAGCAGAAAUUGACCCAAAAAUUUAUAUAUUGAUCCAUUAAGGGAGGAUUUGUUUAGAUUAAUACAUUUUCAGAAGUGGUAGAAUUGUAAGUUUACCAAAGUUUGAUAUAUAAGCUCUUUGUAGUGUAUCCUGAAAGAUUUAGCUUUUGAAUCUCAUAUUCAAUUGUUGUACUCUGAAAUAACGAUCUUGUUUGCAUUAUUUUUGUCAGAUAAGCAGCUGAAGAAAAACUCUCAAGUUUAUUUUCUUGUGCUGUAAUGUAGUGAUAUGUUCUCUUUUAUUGUUAAAUUAGCUCUUUAACAAAAAUUAAAAUUUUCUGCUCUGUAUUAUCUUUUUACUAAGAGUGUAUGCUUCAUCUAUUAAACUAUUGAAGAUAAGAUGUCCAACAAUUAACUUUUGUUUUUGUGGACAAGUUUAUAUUAAAAAUGUGCAAUAAAACAGCUUAGAAAUAUUGUAUUAUCAAUGAACAUUUUUUUGUUUAUUAUUUUCUUUAAUUAAUGCAUCCUUACUUUAAACAUACCAAAACUAAUGGAAGAUUUAUGUUUCAUACAGUAUUCAAAAUUCUUGUUCUUUAUUAACAGACUGAUGUUAAAAUAUCAAUAUUAUACUCACUAGAAAUUGGUAAACCUACAAACAAAAGUUUUAAUUGAACACAUUAGAUGUAUAUCAAAAUGGCAGGUGUUUUAUUUUGAUUUUGCCAAACUGAGAUGAGCAAAUUUUAUUUUGUAACUAAAUUAAAUGUAUAUCAAAAUGGCAGGUGUUUUAUUUUGAUUUUGCCAAACUGAGAUGAGCAAAUUUUAUUUUGUAGCUAAAUAAAGUUAUGAUGUUUUGAUAUUUCUGUUAUAGUUACUGCAAUUUCUUUUAAAUAAAGACUUUAUAAGAGGGUCUGGGUGGGAUUUACAGACUAGAGAAUAAUAACUAAUAAAAUAACGAGAAAAAUGAGUCAAAAAGAUAAUGAAAAGAGAAUAAUGGGGUGCAAAAGAAUAAAGAACAACUGUGAAAAAUUAAAGAAUUAGAUAAUAAAAUACUGAUUAUAGAAAUGAACAAUGUACAGAAUAAAGAAAUCAUGUAAUAAAUAUGAUAAUGCUAAUAGUAAAAUAAUUUUCAUGGGAAUUUUACAGAAUAAGCAUUAUUUUUAAAAACAAAGAAAAAUGCAAAAAAAAAAAUUAAAUAUACAGAAAUGGAGGACUCCCAUCCAGAUCCUUAUAUAGAUAAUUCCAUAGCUAGCUAGACAAAGAAAAAUGCUAAAAAAAAAUUAAAUAUACAGAAAUGAAGGACUCCCAUCCAGACCCUUAUAUAGAUAAUUCCGUAGCUAGAUAGAUAGGUCAUACUGUCGGACAUAAUCCAAUUCUUUCAGGAUUAAUCAUCUUUAUGUAUAAAAAGAAUGUUAAGGACAGAUCCAUUGAAAAGAAGAGCUCUUUAUAAAUAAAACAUAGAAAAUAAUUCAUUGGCAACAUUUCAGCAAAAAUUUGCCUGCAAGAAAUUUAGUACAAGAAAUUUGGUACAAGUUGUUUAAUUUCAAUGAAAACUUUUUAACAAUGUAGUUUUGACUUCUACACAUUAUGUUAAUAUAUACUUUUACAUGUGUAUUGGGUAGUCCCAUAAUUAUACUUGAUGACUUUACAUUAUGUGUUCCUUUUGCAGGAAUUACCCAUAUUUACUUAUGUUUUUUUAUUAUAUAAUUAUAGUUUUGUUUACCUUUGUUGUUUUUUAUUGUUUGAAUUACAUUUUUUAUUGGUUGUCAUGGUUUCUGUGAUAUGCUGUGAAAUAAAUAAAUAUAUAAACAUCA